UACGGGGGGGGCAAGCGUUGUUCGGAAUUACUGGGCGUAAAGGGCUCGUAGGCGGCCAACUAAGUCAGACGUGAAAUCCCUCGGCUUAACCGGGGAACUGCGUCUGAUACUGGAUGGCUUGAGUUUGGGAGAGGGAUGCGGAAUUCCAGGUGUAGCGGUGAAAUGCGUAGAUAUGUGGAGGAAUACCGAUGGCGAAGGCAGCCUCCUGGGCCAACACUGACGCUCAUGCACGAAAGCGUGGGGAGCAAACAGG
rnacentral:rRNA from 1 species